AAUGUUGCUCGUUGAACCCCU
rnacentral:miRNA from 1 species